rnacentral:rRNA from 1 species
GUAGGGUGCAAGCGUUGUCCGGAAUUAUUGGGCGGAAAGAGCUCGUAGGCGGUUUGUCGCGUCUGCUGUGAAAACCCGAGGCUCAACCUCGGGCCUGCAGUGGGUACGGGCAGACUAGAGUGCGGUAGGGGAGAUUGGAAUUCCUGGUGUAGCGGUGGAAUGCGCAGAUAUCAGGAGGAACACCAAUGGCGAAGGCAGAUCUCUGGGCCGUAACUGACGCUGAGGAGCGAAAGCAUGGGGAGCGAACAGG